rnacentral:rRNA from 1 species
GCUUAUAGUCAUACCAACCUGAAUGCUCCUGAUCUUGCUGAUCUUGGAAGCUAAGCAGUGUUGAGUCUGGUUAGUUCUCGAAUGGGAGACUGCCUGGAAAUAAUAAAAAAAAACA